rnacentral:rRNA from 1 species
GACGAACGCUGGCGGCGUGCUUAACACAUGCAAGUCGAACGGUGAAGGGAUCAGCUUGCUGGUUCUGGAUGAGUGGCGAACGGGUGAGUAACACGUGAGUAACCUGCCCCCUUCUUCUGGAUAACCGCAUGAAAGUGUGGCUAAUACGGGAUAUUCUGCGCCUGCUGCAUGGUGGGUGUGGGAAAGAUAUUGUUUCGGUGGGGGAUGGGCUCGCGGCCUAUCAGCUUGUUGGUGGGGUGAUGGCCUACCAAGGCGGUGACGGGUAGCCGGCCUGAGAGGGUGGACGGUCACGCUGGGACUGAGACACGGACCAGACUCCUACGGGAGGCAGCAGUGGGGAAUAUUGCACAAUGGGCGCAAGCCUGAUGCAGCGACGCCGCGUGAGGGAUGGAGGCCUUCGGGUUGUGAACCUCUUUCGCCAGUGAAGCAGGCCUGUCCCUUGUGGGUGGGUUGACGGUAGCUGGAUAAGAAGCGCCGGCUAACUACGUG